GAUGAACGCUAGCUACAGGCUUAACACAUGCAAGUCGAGGGGCAACAUGAACUUAGCUUGCUAAGUUUGAUGGCGACCGGCGCACGGGUGAGUAACACGUAUCCAACCUUCCGUUUACUCAGGGAUAGCCUUUCGAAAGAAAGAUUAAUACCUGAUAGUAUGGUGAGAUUGCAUGAUAGCACCAUUAAAGAUUUAUUGGUAAACGAUGGGGAUGCGUUCCAUUAGGUAGUAGGCGGGGUAACGGCCCACCUAGCCGACGAUGGAUAGGGGUUCUGAGAGGAAGGUCCCCCACAUUGGAACUGAGACACGGUCCAAACUCCUACGGGAGGCAGCAGUGAGGAAUAUUGGUCAAUGGGCGAGAGCCUGAACCAGCCAAGUAGCGUGAAGGAUGAAGGUCCUACGGAUUGUAAACUUCUUUUAUACGGGAAUAAAGUAUCCUACGUGUAGGAUUUUGUAUGUACCGUAUGAAUAAGCAUCGGCUAACUCCGUG
rnacentral:rRNA from 1 species